UCAAAGAAGGACACCCAUCUCUAGCUCCCAAAGCUAGUAUUUUAUCUUAAACUACUCUCUG
rnacentral:tRNA from 1 species